CGUCCGGGGUUGUAAAUAAAAAAAAACAGACACGAGCACGACUGCACGAGCUCUCCUCUCUCCCACGCCUCCUGAUCCCAGCCGCCAGGAGGCACGCGGCCCGUGCGGCGCUCGAUCCGGUGACGCGCCGGCCGCCGCCGACGCCGGCAAUCACAGCACCCUGCACCACCGUUCCACCUUAGCUCCUCAUCUUCCCCGCGUGCCCGAGCUCCUCCUCUCUCCCGCGUGCCCGAGCUCCUCGCUGUGUGCCGCUCGGGAGGGCUUGCGUUCGCCGCUCGACCAAAGCCACCGCGAGCUGGUCGUCGUUGCACUUGCUGGCGACCUGGCCGUCCCCUCUGCACCACUUUCACCUCAAAUUUGGACGCUCAUGUGCUUGUGGAUGUUCUCAGUUAUUUUUUGCACACAAGGUGUUUGUGUGUUUGUCUGAACCAGUUUCAGUCACAGAUCCUUGAGCCGACCUAAUUGAGCUAUCGGAGGUGUUGCGGUCUUUUAGCAAACAUGCCCUAUAUUCUAUGGUUUGGCAUCUACAGGAUGCCAUCUCUGGUCAUGGAUCCACUAUGGCUGCUUCGUCCUUCACUUAGGACCUUCUCACCCCCACAGAGAUCAGAGAGAAAAAUAUAUCUUGGAAGCAGGAACCCUUACCUCAUAAGAUGGGUUAUGACUAUGCCGUAGGUGACGUGCGGAAAGGCGACCAAAGAGUACAUGAAGAAUUCUUGCUAUCAACUAGGGCUGGAUGCCCCCAGGAAGAAUGCCGUGAGUCAACUUUAAUGACUAAUAUGUUAAUUUCUUCUAGCUACACAAUAUGAGAUAUUGCUUCUUAAUUAACGCUUACUGCUACGUAGUAAGAUGACAAUGGGAUUUUGUUUCUCGAGUUGGCACUCAGUAGUAAAAGUGGUUUAUACUUCGAAUAGUUGAGCAGAAAACUGGCGUGUCAUGGCUCCUAAUGUUACAGAGCAAGUGGACAGACUCUAUCCCCCCCCCCCCUCUCUCUAGACUUUGUUUUCUAGGUUUGGUUGGGUACAAAAGGCUAGAUUCUGGUAUAUAUUCAUUGAUGCAGAAGCUAGAAGCUCAUUGAUAUUAUUUUUCUUGCCAAACAUACAAAGGAUUGUGCAUAAAACUUCCAGCUUGAAAUCUACAUCUGGGUUACGAGCUUUCUCCAGAAUUUAAGAACAUCGUUGUGGACAUUUAGAUAUUUUUGUAGUAUUCUUCAGGGUCUUGACUUAAUUUCUUUUCACACAGUAAAAUAUUAAUUAUAUGUUGUACAGUAGUAGUACUGUGCAUACUAUGUACUCAAGUUUAUUAAAGUCAAAGCAGGAAAGGAGAUCAGAGUUCAGGGCAUGUUCAGCUCCACCCAUGCAUCAAGGGAAAUAUAUACGACGCAAAUGAUAACGUGUUCUGCUAGAUGACAUAGUACAAGGUUCAGCAGCGACGACAUGAUCUCAAACAUGCCACUGGCAUGGCACCUAUACUAAACUUGAUUUGUUCUCUCAAUAUGGAGUGUUAAUCUUCUCCUCUGCAUAGUACAAAUAUUCCCUUAGCUCAAAGGAUAUAGACAUGGUGAGUUUGGUUGGAGGAAAUAAGAAUGAUUUAUAAAAGUAAUAAAAGGGAGAUAAUGCUGCUUGAUGUGUAUGGGGAUUCUGAAGAUAUAUAUGAUUGAUACUUUCCCUGCAUGAUAUAGAUUAGUCGAGGUUUGCGAAGUUCUCUAUAAAAGAACUAUGUGGGGUUCUAUUAUUGUAUUAUUUCUAACACGUAAAAUAUUUAGGCCCCCGUUGCAUUGCAAGGGCAAUCAGGUCAUGGCAGAAUCAAGUAGGAACUAGGAAGUAGGAAGGGACCAGUCCCGCCCCCAGCGACAAAGACUCCGACAACGGUGACGGCAGUGUGUCCCGGCGAGCGUGAGCAAUGGAAGCAUAAUCUCCAAGUAACUGACCAAGACGUUGUCCAGGUCACACGUCGAGGACUUCCUGCCGCCACCUUGGCUGCUGUUGUUGUCCCCUCAAAUAAGCCAUAUAAGGUUAGUUCCAUACACUGCAAAUGCAACUUGCAAGCAUGGGGACAUGUACAGAACACAAGUGUCAUACACACAGAAAUCAUCAACUUUGUGUUUUAAUUGUCUGAAUUACAGGCAUCCCUAGCUGCACUUGCAGGUCAAAAACAUGUGCAUACUUCGGUAGGCACAACAAGCAGACCUAUACAAAUUUGCUACAAAGGCCUGAGCUACUGAAUAUAUAUACCUGUAAUAAAAAGAGGCUUUCCUAUCGUCCUCUUUCAUGUUCAAGUUCCUAAUGAAGCAGCCAUGAAAGACUGGGUCAACAAUGAAAUAAAAUAGAAAACUAAACCCACUGUUCAUGAUCUUUGUGGAAGAAAACACAUACGAUUCUUAUUCUGUAAGAGUUGUUUGUCUUUUGAGUUACUGCAUAGGCAAAAUGCCAAAAUUCAGUGUAGUCUUUUCGGUUAAUCUCAUCAUCAUGUAAUUAAUAUUCUGUGAAGACUACAAUAUACAGCGAGGCAAUGAGAAGAACUGGACCUGGUGUGUGAGUGUAUAAAUAUACAAGAAGCUAUUUUUAUCCAAUCUUGCUAUUAAUGACCAUGUGGUGUAAUCUUGGGCUAUUUGUUGUAAAUAGCUAAAAGUGGUUCAUAAUUCUUGGUGUGUUUUGCUGUUUCUUGCGCUGGAGGAUCUGCUCCUUCCCCACGCGUGCCCGCGAGGACAAGGAGUCAUAGUGGUGGCCACUAGCAGCGCCAGAAGGAGCGUCCAUUCAAGCACAUUCAACCAGGAUGGUGUGCACGUUUUUUUUAAAAGCUCAGGCUCCUCUUUCUUACAUGAGUUAUUCUUAAUUAUUGAUUUGAUCUGUAGGAUUUACAUCAGGUUGGCACAA